GCUUUAACACCCAGGCCUCACCCCCUCCCCCACCCCCCGCCCACGAACAGCUUCGUGGACAGUUUACUCAGACCGACUCGAAGGUAAUUUUAAGGUAGUUUUGGGAUAUUACCCAAGUAUGGCCCAGCUGGAAGGUGGACAUCAGGGGGGAGGGCUCAGAAGCACCAAAGUCCAACCUUCUCUACUCACAGAUGGAGAAACUGAGCCCCAGAGAGAGAAGAGUCAGCUGAGACUCCCCCAGAUAAGAUGAUCACCAGAUAUUCUGGGACCUUGCUGGGGACAGACAGCCCUCCCUGCCCGGCAAUGGGCCUUUGGGAUGUGGCACAAGCUCCCGGGAAACCUGGAGUGACAAGGGCGCCUGUCCCUGGGGAGCGGAGAGCGCGGAGUUGGUGCUGAGUCAGCCCUGACGUGGCAGAGGAGGAGCAGGCCCCUGCAGAACCAGGGAAACGUCAUCUCCACCGCUCAACCAGCCCAACCCUGGAGUGCUGUGGAAGCCGCUCUCAGAUCCCUUGGCAGCCCCCAAGGUGCAAGUCGUGGCUGCCCCUGCCCCACUCAGUCCCUGCACAGCCACCAGCUGGCUGCCUGGGACCCCUUGGAGCCAGGCCUGAGGACCUACCCACCGCACCUGCUUCAGCACCCUCAGCUCUGCUCCCUCACAGCCAGCUCAGGCCACCCGGGGAGGCACUCUUGCCCCCAGCCCCGCCAUCUGUAAUAGCU
rnacentral:antisense_RNA from 1 species